GCCCUCAUGGCCCUGCAAGCGUCCCCUCAGAUGCUAAAAAUGCCCUUUUGCUGCCGUGAUGUGAGCCUGGUGCCUGCAAAACAACCCGGGCCACCUUCUGAUAGACAUUGAGAAAAUUCUUGGAUGCUCUUGCAACCCUUUCCUACAGCCCUGGGAACACUUCCUACAGCUUGUGCCCAGGAGUUCAGCUGCUGCCACUGACAGGGUGCACAGAAUACCACCCAGCAGAUGGAGGGAGCCCCAGCAUUCCACUCAGCUCUGGCUUCACGGGGCUUAAAAACCUCAUCAAUUUUUAUGUGAUUCAAGUCUAUUUUAUUGCAAGGAAGUGCUGCAGCAGAAGAGCCAGCUCACACCCUUCUGCUGAGAUGAGCUUCUCCUCUAGUGCCAUGCGGACAAAACCAUCACACAGUUUCAAUACCAAAGUUUUGUCAAAGUUGUAGUAAGUCCUCAAGGUUUGCUGUGUACUGUCCUUAACCCCUGCCCUCUCAGGUGGUCUUCAGUAGCUGUAAUGCCAGAUCCUGCCUGCUGGAUUGCCAGAAGAAGGGGGAAAUGCACUGCGGCAGCUGUGGUGUGGACAGGUCAUUUAUACCGUUUGGUUGAGAAGAUGCUGAGCAGUGAAACACUGAAAUAGGGCUGCUAGCAAAACAGGUGGGGAAUUUCUGUCCGUUCUUCCUUCCAUCUUCAUAGGGCAGCCAUGUUCCCCCCUCACUGAGUCUAAACUGCAGGUCAGGGGCAGGCACCAGAGAGCGUAACAACCUCACCUCCUGGCUACACAGCUAUUUCCAGGACAAUCUGUGGACAGCGUCCCCAAAACAUUUGCUAGGGUUUCAGCUUGGAUCACCAGGACUCUUACAAGUGUGGAGAGGACCCAAGUUGGUGCCUGGCUGCUUACUGAUAGCACAGUGUUUGCUCUGGGUGGCUCUCUGAGCAAUGCAUAAGCAGCCCCCCAGUGAGGCCAGGGCAAAGGAUGCUCAGUGCAUCAGGAGUGAAAAAGCACCCAGGGCGGGUAGGCAAAAACUUACAAGACAAAUGGGAAUACACAUUAUUCCACUCUCAUCACGUGGAAAACAAAAUCAUUCUCUUGGGCCACUCAAAUAGGUUUUGUUAUGUGUUAUAAAUGGAAUAUCUUCAAAGAGAUGUGACUAUCCAACACUGGCUGCCCCAUGCAGCUAGGCAUUUGUCUGCUUUUCCUGCCUUUUAUUACGCACAUCUGGAUAUCGCCCAGGCCCUGUAUGCAUGUUGCUAUUUGAAUUUCGGGGUGCAGUAACUACAAGUGGAGUUUUAACACACUUAGCAUUGCACCAACCCUGAUGUAAACAACAAAACCACCUACCUGUGGUUACAAGGAGCUGAGCCAGGUCAUAGGCAGAAAGGCAAGAACUCCGAGCACCUCAUUAAAACUGAACAUAGAUAAUGUUGCACUCUAGGCUAGAGGAAUACUGUGGAGGUGCUGGGAAGAAAUCUCUGGUCCUUCAUUAGCCCAUGGGCCUCUGCCAGCUGAUGCGGUUUUGCAAUAGCACCAAUGUUGGUGUGACCAUGAAUGCCAGUUGCUCUUUAGCUCAGUAAUUGUGUGUGUUUGGAGACAGAAAUAAAAGAUUAACUCUUGGAAAGGUGCUAUUUUCCAAAUGCCACUCAAAUAAAUGACAAAGAAAAGUACAUAAAUACGGCUGGUGACAAUUAGUGGUGUAAGGUGUUAAGAAUGUUGGAGAAAAUAUGUAUUCAGACCUAGAAGGUCUGUCUUUUUCUGUAUGAUUACUAUCUACCUGACUGCCUUCAUAGUAACAGCAUGUAAGGGACUGUCUCAAAUUCAGUAUGUGCUUCAUACCUUGGCAGGGAGCAACCUGGACAUUUCCACAUGAUUAAUCUUCAAAACAAAGAAAUAUAAUUGGCAUCUCUCUGAAACUGUACAUAAUCACUAAAAUGUGCAAAUCACUCCAGGCUGACUCUUCCCUAGCUCUGCAGUCGACAGAAGCGACUGCUUGAGUUGAACGGGUCAAAUAUGAAUAAUAACAGUGUUGUCAGGAUUUGAGCCUAACAGGCAGCCUGUCAGGACUUUAAAUAGAGAAUUUAACAGCAGAGCACCUGGGUAGUUUGGGUAAUACGGCUUUCAUGAAGGCUGCUUUCAUUAGCUGAUUUCUAGGCAACAGCACUAGAAAAGGGUUGUAAGUACCUCGAAGAAAGGAAACUUCAAGGAGUCAAAAGCCUAUGAUGUGAUAUGAAGCAGACUGAGGGGUGUUGGAUGUGAAUUACUUAUUUCUGCCUUAUCAACUAGGCACCUUUGGCAUUUAUUAAAUUUCCUUUCCCUUUGUAUAACACUUGUGCACAAAAUUUGUCAGGAGAACUAAUAAAGGUUUCAGUAUGUUACAACUGAGACACUGAGCACUGCUGGAAAUCCAGUAAGUGCUGUUAAGGAUUUGAAUAACACAGGUACAUGAAACUGUGAUUAAAAAUAAUUGAAAUAAAUGGUUUAUUCAGUUUUAUUAAAUUUAGAUUGUUCCUAGGAGUAUCAGGGCAUAUGCUCCUCAUCAUGCAACUUUGGCUUUCCCUGGAUUUCAGUUU